rnacentral:misc_RNA from 1 species
GGGAGAGCAAGUCAUAUAAGAGAACUGUGUCUAGGUUCUUCUAUCUUUGACGAAUUUUUCAGGCAUAUGUUCAAUUUAGUAGCAUCACGUGUCUUUAUGUCCAUUGCACAUUCUAACUCUUAUAAUUGUUUAUCUGGUCAUUUACAUAAUUACAACAAUCCUUUUCACUUUCAACUACCUUUUCAUUUUCGAGUCUUUAUAAUUAUAAGUAUUUGUGAAUAUGAUGUCAACUUAAAAAUUCUUAAAUGUGUUCCAUUACAAAUAUUUUACCUUUCCCAUCAUAAAUUCUUUGGAAGGCAUAUUUGUAUGCUUCUGAAUUAGUCACUCUUUAACUUUGCAUUCUGCUGUCA